rnacentral:rRNA from 1 species
CCUACGGGAGGCAGCAGUGGGGAAUAUUGGGCAAUGGAGGAAACUCUGACCCAGCGACGCCGCGUGAGGGAUGAAGGCCUUCGGGUUGUAAACCUCUUUCAGUAGGGAAGAAGCGAAAGUGACGGUACCUACAGAAGAAGCACCGGCUAACUAUGUGCCAGCAGCCGCGGUAAUACAUAGGGUGCAAGCGUUGUCCGGAAUUAUUGGGCGUAAAGAGCUCGUAGGUGGUUCGAUACGUCGGAUGUGAAAAUCAGGGGCUCAACCCCUGACCUGCAUCCGAUACGGUCGAGCUAGAGUUUGGUAGGGGAGACUGGAAUUCCUGGUGUAGCGGUGGAAUGCGCAGAUAUCAGGAGGAACACCGAUGGCGAAGGCAGGUCUCUGGGCCAAUACUGACACUGAGGAGCGAAAGCGUGGAGAGCGAACAGGAUUAGAUACCCUGGUAGUCCACGCCGUAAACGGUGGGCGCUAGUUGUGCGAACCUUCCACGGUUUGUGCGACGCAGCUAACGCAUUAAGCGCCCCGCCUGGGGAGUCGAUCGCAAGNUUAAAACUUAAGGAAUUGACGG